rnacentral:misc_RNA from 1 species
CCCUUCUGGAUCAUGUCCUGCACAAUUCUCAUCCUAUAUUUCUUUCUCAAGCUUGCAUCUUCAGACAACAACACUCAAGAUGGAUUCUUGUUCGAUGGUUUCUUCAAGUUGGGUGGCAGCGCAGAGGUAAACAAUUCCAAUAUGUCCUCUCAUGUAAUAUUUGCGGAUAGUGGCCUGAGCGAAGCAGGCCAAGUCUUCUAUAACCGUACUUUCAAAUUCAAGAACUCAACUACUGCUCCUGUCUUCUCCUUCUCCACUACCUUUAUUUUUGCAGUAGUAUCCAACGACCCUGAAUUCAGCGGCCAUGGUCUUGCCUUCGCUAUCUCACCAUCGAAUGGUAUUCCUGGUGCCUUACCAAAUCAGUAUCUUGGUCUUUUUAAUGCAUCUAACAAUGGAGAAAUUUCAAAUCAUGUAGUUGCAGUGGAGCUUGACACAGACCAAGAUUUCCAAUUUGAAGACAGAGAUGAUAACCAUCUGGGUAUUGAUAUUAAUGGUUUAGUAUCUGUGAAAUCUGCUACUGCUGGCUACUUUGAUGAGCAUGGGCG